UACAGAGGAGCCAAGCGUUGUCCGGAUUGACUGGGCGUAAAGUGCACGCAGGCGGUCGUGCGCGUGGGGUGUGAAAUCUGGCCGCUUAACGGCCAGGCGCCAUCCCAUACGGCACGACUGGAGCGAUGCAGAGGUCGGUGGAAUUGCCGGUGUAGCGGUGAAAUGCGUAGAUAUCUGGAGGAACACCGGUGGCGAAGGCGGCAUCCUGGACCAAUACUGACGCUGAGGAGCGAAAGCCAGGGGAGCAAACGGG
rnacentral:rRNA from 1 species